rnacentral:rRNA from 1 species
UACAGAGGGGGCAAGCGUUGUUCGGAAUUACUGGGCGUAAAGGGCGCGCAGGCGGCCUUCUAAGUCAGACGUGAAAUCCCCCGGCUUAACCUGGGAACUGCGUCUGAUACUGGGAGGCUUGAGUAUGGGAGAGGGAUGUAGAAUUCCAGGUGUAGCGGUGAAAUGCGUAGAUAUCUGGAGGAAUACCGGUGGCGAAGGCGGCAUCCUGGACCAUUACUGACGCUGAGGCGCGAAAGCUAGGGGAGCAAACGGG